rnacentral:rRNA from 1 species
AAACUAUACGAAAAAGAAAAAGGAAGUGGAAAAGAACCGCAGCCUUCUAUCCCGUCGGCCGUCGCCGUUCUCCCGACGCCGCCGCCGCCGCCGCCGCCUCCUCGUGUAGCCCCCACCCGACGUCGUCCUCCUGCCCGUGGAUCUCCGUCGCCCCCUUCCACGUCGAGCCCACGCGCCCCUCCACCCCCCGGCCUCGCCGUCCCCAUUGAGCACUCAAUCCGCCGGCCGCCAGGUUCAGAUUGGUUUCUCGAUGGAGGCACCACCGUCGAGGGAGGAAGGAACCUACUGCCAUGGCAAUGGUGGAGAUGCUGCUGCGGACGAUGACUCCUCCUGGUGUGAUUAUUCAGAUUCCCCAGGGCAUGGUUCCAGCUUACACAUGGAAUGGGCCCACUUGCAGGACCAGCUUCAUAAGAUGGGCUAUAGGGAAGGCAUAACCGAAGGGCGGAAGGACGCUGCCCAAGAGGGCUUCAAUCUUGGGCAUAGGCAAUCUGCGCCUCAAGGAUACAAGUGGGGUCUCGUUCGGGGAAUUACUAGUGCAUUGGCUAGCGUUCAAGACAGUCUAAAAGAAAAGUUGCUGCUCGAUGCCCAGCGUAGAGGGAAACUUGAGGAUUUGCGCAACUCUGUGCGAGAAAUUCCACCAGAGGCUGCACUGCGGAUGUUUCAUGAGAGUAUUAUUCAGGAUAAUGCUCCGCUAGUGGAAAGCAGCCUUCAAGCUAUUCCAAAUGAUCUUCUGCUGUUGUUGCGCGAAUGCCCAGAUGUUCAAGUUCCUGAAGAGUUGAAACGAGCUCCGUAGGCAAGGUUGAAAGUGAAAGUGAAAUUGCAAGCAACACUGAUUUUGAAGUCUGGUAGAAUCACUUGGACUGAGUUCUUCUGAAGGAUGCGACAGAAAAUGCUAGUUUGCAUCGGCUGGCUUCAGCAAAUGCACUCAAAUCUGCUCAACCGAAGGGCCUGAUCCACUCCUCAGAGUUGCUAUGCCCUACUGCUGUUAAUGGGAUGUUAACUGCAUGCUGAUAUGUCCUUUGACGGUCCAUGGUAGUUAUUGGACUGCACACCAUGUCAGUAAAUUGUCUGCUUCUAUUUCUGUUACAGGGGUUGGUGUGAUGGGAACAUCAAGCUGUUGGUUUUGCGUGUUAAUGCCAUCUAUUCAUGGUGAUGCAUGCUUCAGGACAUAAUUUGCAAUGUUUGGUACUCAGCAGUCAGCACCAGAAAUCCCUGGACGAAAUGAUCGAACAUUUGGAUAUUCUUCUGCUGUCUCUUGUUACCUGAUAUGUCAUUCGGUAGUCUGUUAUGCAUUGUAUAGCCAAGCAGUGCAUUAGCUAGUCUUCCUGACAGUCUAAAAGAAAAGUUGCUGCUCGAUGCCCAGCGUAGAGGAAAACUUGAAGAUUUGCACAAUUCUGUGCAAGAAAUUCCAGCAGAGGGUGCACUGUGGAUGUUUCAUGAGAGUAUUCUUCAGGAUAAUCGUCAACCAGAGGAAAGCAAGCUCCGAACUUUUCCGAAGGACCUUCUGUUGCUGUUGCACGACUGCCCAGAUGUUCAAGUUUCUGAAGAGUUGAAAAGAGUUCCGUAACCAAAGUCCUAAAUGAAAUUGCAAGCACCACUGGUUUCGAAGUCUGGUAGAAUCACUUAGACCGAGUUCUUCUGAAGGAUGUAGUUAUAAGUCAUGUGAUACUAAUUAAGAUUUUCUUUAUGGUGUAACCCUUUCUUUGCCAUGAACUCCUGUAAAUUCCCAUCAUGAAUGACAAUAAUAAUAUUUUCUUCC